CAGAGAGUAAACAUCAAACUACAGCAAAGGUGUCUGAUGGACUCACAGUGAACAAACACGAUGGCAAGAGGAAGACCUGAGGACACACGAUGAAGAAGCCGUGCAGAUGCUAUCGUGUCUUCGGUUGGCACAUUAAUGAGCUCUGACAGUGCUGUUUAUUUAAAUAAGACAGCAUUAACACUUUGAGCCUAGCUCCAGUUAACACUGAAUAUAAAUUCUAAAGCUGAAUAUGUUACGCCCACUCCCCCCACCUCUACCAUUAACAAAUGGUUCAGCCCAUAGCGUGGAGCGGCUUUAUUUCUUGUUGUCAGUAGCAACCGAUGCCUAUUAUUGUUCCAGAGCACUUUUUGAACAGCGCCGUGGAUUUCACACAGCUGCUUGGUUGUUACACUGUGGAAAUGGACUGAAGGUUCAGGAAGGAGGCGACCUGUACGGAUACAACCUGCAAAUAGAACACCUGUUUACACCUGUGUGAUGUAAUGACCUGCAGUGUGAGGGAACGAAGGACUUACCAGCAAUGCAGGAGAGGGAGGCAGUUCUGCAAACUCCACCAAAGUAAAAGUGAAGCAGCUCAGAGGCAGAGACUCACUGUCACGGCGUGC